ensembl:snoRNA SNORA70 Small nucleolar RNA SNORA70
AGGGGUCCCUGGAUGCAAACAGCAACCUCCUUGGUAGUGUACACAGCCUGUUGCUUGUAAGGGCUUCCCUAAGCGACCUUGGAGAUGCAG